rnacentral:ncRNA from 1 species
GCUCUGGAGAAGCUCACACAAGCUGUGAGGGCCGAAGGUGCAAGGCGCUGAAAGACAAACGAAGGCGCCAAAUCUCUCAGGCAAAAGGACAGGGUCG